rnacentral:rRNA from 1 species
GACGAACGCUGGCGGCGUGCCUAAUACAUGCAAGUCGAGCGGGCCUCCGGAGGUGCUUGCACCUCCGGAAGGCCAGCGGCGGACGGGUGAGUAACACGUGGGCAACCUGCCUUUGAGGCCGGGAUAACACCGGGAAACCGGUGCUAAUACCGGAUACGUCCUCUUUCGCGCCUGCGAGAGGGGAGAAAGACGGUCUUUAAGGCUGUCGCUCAAAGAGGGGCCGGCGGCGCAUUAGCUGGUUGGUGGGGUAAGGGCCUACCAAGGCGACGAUGCGUUGCCGACCUGAGAGGGUGAUCGGCCACACUGGGACUGAGACACGGCCCAGACUCCUGCGGGAGGCAGCAGUAGGGAAUCAUCCGCAAUGGGCGAAAGCCUGACGGUGCAACGCCGCGUGAGUGAGGAAGGUUUUCGGAUCGUAAAGCUCUGUUGUGAGGGAAGAACAGCUUCCGGAGGAAAUGCCGGAGGUUUGCCGGUACCUCACCAGAAAGCCCCGGCUAACUACGUGCCAGCAGCCGCCGUAA